rnacentral:tRNA from 1 species
GGCAAGAUGGCCGAGCGGUUAAGGCGGGAGACUCAAGGGUAACUAUCCUUACCUGUAAUCACAGGCGCUAUUCUUCUGGGGCAACCCGCGCGAGUUCGAAUCUCGCUCUUGUCA